ACAGUCUACCCUCUAGCCCAAAACCAUCCCCCUCGAUCCUCUCCCUCCCUCUCUUCACUCUCUCUAAACAAACUACCAUGGCCAUCAUUAACACCAAGACCAUAAUAGUCUCUCUUUGCACACUGAGUUUGGUGUUCGUCUUCUCUCCACAACUCUCUUUCUCCUCCUCGAUCCACGACCUGCUUAUCUCAAAAGGGUUACCAGCUGGUCUACUCCCAAAGGAAGUGAAGUCCUACACCGUGUCUGAAGAUGGCUACUUGGAGGUGUUUCUUGAUGGUCCAUGCUUGACCAGAUAUGAGAACAGGGUCUUGUUUGAAAGUGUAGUGAGGGCUAAUCUCACUUAUCUUAGUCUUUCUGGAGUUGUUGGCUUGUCUCAAGAAGAACUCUUUCUUUGGCUACCAGUGAAAGACAUCACAGUUGAUGACCCAAGAUCAGGACUUAUUUUGUUUGACAUUGGGGUUGCUCAUAAGCAACUGUCCUUAUCACUCUUUGAAGAUCCACCUAACUGUAAGCCUCAAGUUAUGGAAUGGAUAAGGAAACAGCAGUUGUGCUGUGGGCAUGGUUAGGAAGCUGAAGCUGAUCACAUGAAUCUUAUUACCUGCCAUGCCUGUUGCUUUCACUGGCUUGUGUUUCAGUCCCAGAAACUGGUCACAGAGUGAGUCGAAGAAUCAUGCGAGGAAGGAGAGAGGGUUUGAGGCUGUGAGAUAGAAGAUGCAUGCCAUGCUGUUCCAACUUUGUCAUUUUCCAUGGAAUGUUUUGUUUAAUGAUUCCAUAAUACAAUCUUAGAUUAGAUUAGAGGUUUUGUUAGUUAUAUAAAGUAUAAAAAUGGCAAUCAUGGAAUCUGGUGUCCUUAUCAAA